AACGCGAAGAACCUUACCAGAUCUUGACAUCUCCGGAAUUAGGUAGAGAUACUUAAGUGCCUUCGGGAACCGGAAGACAGGUGGUGCAUGGCUGUCGACAGCUCGUGUCGUGAGAUGUUGGGUUAAGUCCCGCAACGAGCGCAACCCCUAUCGUUAGUUACUAACAUUAAGUUGAGGACUUUAGCGAGACUGCCUGCGAAGAGCAGGAGGAAGGUGGGGAUGACGUCAAGUCAUCAUGCCCCUUAUGAUCUGGGCUACACACGUGCUACAAUGGACAGUACAAAGAGAAGCGAAAUGGUGACAUGGAGCAAAUCAAGAAAUCUGUUCUCAGUUCGGAUUGGAGUCUGCAACUCGACUUCAUGAAGUUGGAAUCGCUAGUAAUCGCGGAUCAGCAAUGCCGCGGUGAAUACGUUCUCGGGUCUUGUACACACCG
rnacentral:rRNA from 1 species